GCCGCGGUGGCGGAACUGGCAGACGCGCACGACUCAAAAUCGUGUUCCUGUGAGGGAGUGAGGGUUCGAUUCCCUCCCGCGGCA
rnacentral:tRNA from 1 species